rnacentral:lncRNA from 1 species
CUAGGCUGUCGGGGUCUUCGUUGGUGAGCGGAACUUUUGCCGCAUCGAGUGGAGAGUGACAGCGGAGCAGGUGGAGGGAAGCCCGGAAGGAGCCGGUGUGUGCAGUUUGCUUCACCGAUACGGAUUUGAUGUUUGGCGGUAAUCAAUAUAAAGAUGUUCAUCUGUCAUUGAGGGAAAACUUUCUUUUUGAAGGGAAAACUAUAAGGUACAGGUAACUGUUAGCUGCCAUCUUACAACCAUGAGAGAAGUCAGCUGGAAGAUAAAACUGACACAUUGAGAAGGAAAAAGCCAAGAUUAUUACAGAAAAAAUGGAGCUAGAGCC